UGUCUCCCUGCUCUGGGCAUCGGAGGGCAGCACAGUCACAACACUGUCACUGGUUUCUUGGCUCUCUGCUGUCUCCCUCACUCCCACCAUAUGCCCUGCUAACCUCGGGGCUCCAGGGAGGACCUGGUGCCAGGCCGAGGACCUCCUGCCACCAGAAGCAGGCCAAGGCCAGCUCCAGCCGGUGUGUCCAUGGGACGGAAGGGCAUGGUCUGUUUCUCUUGGCGGGAGACCCAGGAGUCUGCUGAGUGAUGGGUUCUUGAGAAGGUCCAGGAAGCCAUGGGCUUGGUGACCAGAGGGAUGUGAAUCAUUUGCAACACUUCCCAAGCCCCUCCCAGUCCCCCUUUGAAUCCUCACAAGGACUCCAGGGGUGAGCAUCGUGACACCCACUUUAAGGACUAGGAAAGUGAGAUGCAGGAAGGCCGAGUCUUCCCCAGCGUCACAGUCAUGGUUCCAAGGCUUCCGGCUGAGAGAGGGGGAGCUCAGGAGGCCCUGGAGCCCCACCCCCUGAUGGCCCAUGUGACCCCACAGCUGGUACGAGUGACAACCACCUCAGCAAGGGGCUGGAGGUGCUCCCGCUCAGGAGGCUUCGCCUGCCAGAUUCUGCUGACAGCAGGGCUGACACAGCAGUGUGGCACCUGAGUUUGAACCCUGGCCCAGGUCUGACUUCCCAUGAAGGAAGGGAAGAGGAGGACCAAGAUGGAGGAGUACUAAGGAGGGAAGACGUCCAGGCUCUACAGGCUUGACCUUGACCCACCCUUCUCGGCAGAGCCAGGGCAGGAGGAGAAGUGAGGGAGAACAUGGACGGAGGCUGAGUUCCAGCCCUGGAGACCCUGGCACUGCCUUCUGGUGGGGCUGCCCCACCACCCUCUCACCUCUCUACGAAGCAGCACUGGCCUCAGGACCUGGGGGGCUCCAACGGGGCCAGUCCCAGAACAUUCUCAGGACCAGCCUCCCAGCCUGAUCUUCCAUGUUCCUAGGACUUAAAAUAAAACUGGAAACCUCCAUCCCAUCUGGCUUCUGGAAGUGGUGGCACAGG